GGCUGCGUGGCCCAGUGGUUAAGGCAUCUGCUUUACAGUAUCGCCGUAUCGCAGAGGAUCGCAGGUUCGAGCCCUGCCGCGGUCA
rfam:Myceliophthora thermophila ATCC 42464 chromosome 1, complete sequence.